rnacentral:misc_RNA from 1 species
UCUCCGUAGGUGAACCUGCGGAGGGAUCAUUACAGAGUUCAUGCCCUUCGGGGUAGAUCUCCCACCCUGUGUAUUAUUACCUUUGUUGCUUUGGCGGGCCGUUAGGCUUCGGCUUGGCUACCGGCUCCGGCUGAGGUGCGCCUGCCAGAGGACCCCAACUCUAUGUUUAGUGUCGUCUGAGUACUAUUUUAAUACGUUAAAACUUUCAACAACGGAUCUCUUGGUUCUGGCAUCGAUGAAGAACGCAGC